UACGAAGGGGGCUAGCGUUGUUCGGAAUUACUGGGCGUAAAGCGCACGUAGGCGGCCUGGAAAGUCGGGGGUGAAAUCCCGGGGCUCAACCCCGGAACUGCCUUUGAAACUCCCGGUCUUGAGGUCGAGAGAGGAGAGUGGAAUUCCGAGUGUAGAGGUGAAAUUCGUAGAUAUUCGGAGGAACACCAGUGGCGAAGGCGGCUCACUGGCUCGAUACUGACGCUGAGGUGCGAAAGCGUGGGGAGCAAACAGG
rnacentral:rRNA from 1 species